rnacentral:sRNA from 1 species
GCCGGGCGUGGUGGUGCGCGCCUGUAAUCCCAGCUACUCGGGAGGCUGAGGCAGGAGAAUCACUUGAACCCAGGAGGCGGAGGUUGCAGUGAGCCAAGAUGACGCAACUGCACUCCAGCCUAGGUGAUAGAGUGAGACUCUGCCUCAA